rnacentral:rRNA from 2 species
GAUUCGUCACACUAUCAUUAACUGAAUCCAUAGGUUAAUGAGGCGAACCGGGGGAACUGAAACAUCUAAGUACCCCGAGGAAAAGAAAUCAACCGAGAUUCCCCCAGUAGCGGCGAGCGAACGGGGAGGAGCCCAGAGCCUGAAUCAGCAUGUGUGUUAGUGGAAGCGUCUGGAAAGGCGCGCGAUACAGGGUGACAGCCCCGUACACAAAAGCGCAUGUGCUGUGAGCUCGAUGAGUAGGGCGGGACACGUGGUAUCCUGUCUGAAUAUGGGGGGACCAUCCUCCAAGGCUAAAUACUCCUGACUGACCGAUAGUGAACCAGUACCGUGAGGGAAAGGCGAAAAGAACCCCGGCGAGGGGAGUGAAAAAGAACCUGAAACCGUGUACGUACAAGCAGUGGGAGCACCCUUCGGGGUGUGACUGCGUACC